rnacentral:rRNA from 1 species
AUUGAACGCUGGCGGCAGGCUUAACACCUGCAAGUCGAGCGAGCGGCGGACGGGUCAGUAAUGUCUGGGCCACUGCCUGAUGGAGGGGGAUCACUACUGGAAACGGUAGCUUAUACCGCAUACCUUCACAUGUUCCCAGCUGGGAUUAGCUAGUAGGUGGGGUAAUGGUUCACUUAGGCGACGCUCCCUAGCUGGUCUGAGAGGAUGACCAGCCACACUGGAACUGAGACACGGUCCAGAAUCCUACGGGAGGCAGCAGUGGGGAAUAUUGCACAAUGGGCGCAAGCCUGAUGCAGCCAUGCCGCGUGUGUGAAGAAGGCCUUCGGGUUGUAAAGCACUUUCAGCGAGGAGGCGUUACUCGCAGAAGAAGCACCGGCUAACUCCGUGCCAGCCGCCGCGGUAAUUC